CCUCUGGCUGGCCACGGGCGAUGCCUUGGGUCGGGGAGCAGGGAGGGAGGUGGUGGAAGGAGCCACGGGGGACACAGCUGUGGCUCGCAUUGCCUGGGGACCGGCGGAGCGCUGGUGCCCGCAGCGGCUGGGCAGGCGAGGAUGCUGCCGGAGGAUGCUCGGGCACCUGGUGCUGCCCUGCCUCCCCGUCCUGCCUCUCCAAGGUAAAUGCUCUGCCCGAGACAAAGUCUGAGGAGGGCUGGAGUUGGCAAGAGCGGUGGUUGGGAUGGUGUCCGAAAGCACUGCCUGCUGUCCGGGUGAUUUCCCCGGGUGGUUUACCCGAGGCAGCAACUUGCCUCAUGGGCUGGUUUCCCCUUGGCUCGAGCUGAUACAGCAUCAGAGGAACAAGGAGGAAAAAGAAACACUCUCUGUGUGAAUGCCCCGUGUUCGAGUUCCCAGUUUUGGUGUGUGAGGGAACACGUCCGUGCUGUGAGCACAGCUCGCGUUUUCCCUUAACGCUCCUGUUGGCUUUCCCCGAUACUUAUUUUUGUUUGCUGGCGCCGUCAGGUUGCUGUGGUGUUACCUUUCCAGUACGCUUCUCAGGUUUGUACAAAGAGCUGCCGGGAAAAUCGCUUCCUGGGAAUUACCUCCAGAACUGCGGUGCUGAUUAAGCUGUUUGCAGCCCACUUAAAUGCUGACCACCACCACAUUUCCUGCAGAGGGGAUGUACACAAAGUUUUCAGCAUGGGAAUGUGUUCCGUGCUGCGGGAGCCAGGCACUGAAUUAGAUCAGAGCAGUCUUGCACCGCGGAGCUGCCGAGGGCUAGAGGAAGGGGUUUGCAAUGCAUAGUGAACGUGGGUGGGAAAAUACUCCUGGGGAGGAGCGGUGGAGAAACUACAAUGCCAUUAAUACUGAUCAGAAUUUGCAGUUGGCUGCCUGUUUCCCCACCGAAAGUAGCCACGGGGCUUUGAGAGGGAUGGGUCAGGUUAGCACCAAAACACGAGGGCUGUGUGUUCUUGGGUGAACUUCAUUCGCCUUCCCGUUCUUGUAAAUUCCCCCUAAGGGGGGAGAAGACAGCAGCGCAGAUACUUUAUACACUUUUAAUGCCAUUCACUUUUGGGAAACUGAUGAUGGAGUGAUGAAAUGGUGCAGAAAAAACAGCAGAGGUACCAAGUGAUGAGAAAUCCAGCAGAGGUGUUAAGCUAAACUCACGCUCUUCAUGACCCAGGAGCUCUUUUGGCCGCCUUGUAGGGCAGGGUUAUAAGGACCCGGGUUGUGGCAGAGAAGAAGGCAGACCUGGCAGCUGUGCCUUUCAGGUCAUGCUGUUGUCUGGCAGAGCUUGGAGUAAUUUGAGCUAGUUUAAAGAUAUGAAAAGUCUUGAUUAUUUGUUCUGUUGUGCAGAGUGUGUGUUGUCAAGUUGUCAUAAAGCAAACACCAGGCGGUUGUUUGACGUGAGUGCGGCCUUUUUUUCCUUUUUUUCCAGUUACAGCAUUGGGCCUAAUAAAAGAUACAGCUCUCCCCAUAUUUCCUGGCCUUCCUAAAAUGCCUUUACAGCUUGUUUCAUAGGGGAGAGCAUACAUAACCCUCGUUCAUGCAAAAACCGCUCUGGCUCCGAGAUGCGGCUGUAUCUGGGGUGGUGUCUGGUGACUUCAGCAUUCCCUCGCAGUGCUACCUUUUAAGACAGGAGGUUAAAAAAAAAAAAAAAAAAAAAGCCAGCUAAGGGUGGGUGCUGAAGCUCUUUAACCUCGCAUCCGAUCCCAGGGAGAGCACCUGGCAGAGCGUGCUGCUGCCCCUCCGCGCCCGUGGUUCGGAGCUGAUUUACAGCAAAGUAUGCCAUCUGCUGAUUCUCCAGGACCGCUUCCUCCCAUGUCCUGCCUUUUCUCUUUCUCCCGUUGGGAUACUGACCGUGCCUGAUGCUCAGCUGGCUUUACAAAACCUGACAAGGUCACAUCCUGAGGGUAGCAGAAAUGGAUACCGAAAGAAAUGGAGGAAUGCAGCGUUUUAAUCAAGCCAGAUGCAGAGAAGAGAUUUGUACCAGAACGGGGAUCUUUCUAGGAAAGUCAGCAGUGUUGUCUGUGGUGUUCCCCGAUGGGUGAACAGCCCUGCCUUCAGAAGGUGCAGCGAGCCGCAGUGACGGUAUCCAAAAAUGAAGGGUCUCAUCGGAAGCCCAUUUGAGUGUUCCCUACUCUUAUCUGUGCAGGAUAGCUGAGGCUGGUGUUCGUAAUGAAAUGGGGGGGGAGGACACGGAUAAUGAGCAGAGUCAAAGAAAGGAGGAAAGAAAAAGGGGAAGUGAGCAAAAAAAUGUGGUUUUGGGCAGAUGUGCAUUUUUUUUCUUGUGGUGGAGGGCAACUAGUGUACGGCACCUCAGCAGGACACGGGGUAGCUGCUGUGGGUUCAUGGGGGAAGGCUCCCAGCUGAACACGUUGUGGGUGCUUUCGGUAAUCCCUGGUGCCCUGUGGGCUUACCUGGUGUGCACUCUGCUGGUGGAACACGUGUCAGCCUCUGCUGCACCUCCUACCAUGGAAGCAGUGUCCUGGGCAAAGGGUACAGGGAUGCGCUGAGCACAGGCUGGAAAGAAAAGCAACUUUUGGUUUUGUUCCUUCCCCACCAGGAAUAAAAUACACA